rnacentral:rRNA from 1 species
UACAGAGGUCCCAAGCGUUGUUCGGAUUUACUGGGCGUAAAGGGUGCGUAGGUGGCGGGGUAAGUCUGGUGUGAAAGCUCCGAGCUUAACUCGGAAAAGCAUUGGAAACUAUCCCGCUGGAGGGUCGGAGGGGAGACUGGAAUUCUCGGUGUAGCAGUGAAAUGCGUAGAUAUCGAGAGGAACACCAGUGGCGAAGGCGAGUCUCUGGACGACUCCUGACACUGAGGCACGAAAGCUAGGGGAGCAAACGGG